rnacentral:rRNA from 1 species
GUGGGGAAUAUUGGACAAUGGGCGAAAGCCUGAUCCAGCCAUGCCGCGUGUGUGAAGAAGGUCUUCGGAUUGUAAAGCACUUUAAGUUGGGAGGAAGGGCAGUAAGUUAAUACCUUGCUGUUUUGACGUUACCGACAGAAUAAGCACCGGCUAACUUCGUGCCAGCAGCCGCGGUAAUACGAAGGGUGCAAGCGUUAAUCGGAAUUACUGGGCGUAAAGCGCGCGUAGGUGGUUUUGUAAGUUGGAGGUGAAAUCCCCGGGCUCAACCUGGGAACUGCAUCCAAAACUGGCGAGCUAGAGUACGGUAGAGGGUGGUGGAAUUUCCUGUGUAGCGGUGAAAUGCGUAGAUAUAGGAUGGAACACCAGUGGCGAAGGCGACCACCUGGACUGAUACUGACACUGAGGUGCGAAAGCGUGGGGAGCAAACAGGAUUAGAUACCCGGGUAGCC